rnacentral:misc_RNA from 1 species
UUACCUCUUCAGUUGCUAGUCAAUGCUUGUAAAGUAUUGGAUUGAUUGUGGGUUUCUUGUGUUGCAUACCAAAUUGAUGGAAUCGUUUCGUAAAAUAAUAUUUUGUUUUCAUCUUGCGCUGCACAUGUGGUGCGAGAUGAACCUUAAAGCGUUCUUCUUGAUCCACUCUUUUAACGUUCAUGCGUUACUUUUGUGGCUCAUUUAGAGUUGUUUGGUCUCAUGGAUAUGGAACCUGAUGUGGGCAUGGGAUGUUUAAACAUCCUUUCGUUGCCCUGUUUUAGCGUCUCUUAUACGAUUGUCUAUCACGUAUGGCACGUCUCAGCGUGGUGGACCAAAUCGGAGAUGAAUGCUACCUGGUUGAUCCUGCCAGUAGUCAUAUGC